rnacentral:rRNA from 1 species
UACGAAGGGGGCGAGCGUUGUUCGGAUUUACUGGGCGUAAAGGGCGCGCAGGCGGCUCAUUUUGUCAGGCGUGAAAGCCCCGGGCUCAACCUGGGAAUUGCAUUCGAGACUGAAUAGCUAGGGUACGGUAGAGGGAAGUGGAAUUUCCGGUGUAGCGGUGAAAUGCGUAGAUAUCGGAAGGAACAUCAGUGGCGAAAGCGACUUCCUGGACCAGUACCGACGUCAGGCACGAAAGCGUGGGGAGCAAACAGG